UUGCUCCCAUUUCUCAGCGGCGGACGGGUGAGUAACACGUGGGCAACCUGCCCUACAGACUGGGAUAACUCCGGGAAACCGGAGCUAAUACCGGGUAAUACAUAGCAUCGCAUGAUGCAACGUUGAAAGUUGGCCUUUGGCUAACACUGUAGGAUGGGCCCGCGGCGCAUUAGCUAGUUGGUAAGGUAACGGCUUACCAAGGCCACGAUGCGUAGCCGACCUGAGAGGGUGAUCGGCCACACUGGGACUGAGACACGGCCCAGACUCCUACGGGAGGCAGCAGUAGGGAAUCUUCCGCAAUGGACGAAAGUCUGACGGAGCAACGCCGCGUGAGUGACGAAGGCCUUCGGGUCGUAAAGCUCUGUUGUUAGGGAAGAACAAGUACCGUUCGAAUAGGGCGGUACCUUGACGGUACCUAACCAGAAAGCCACGGCUAACUACGUGCCAGCAGCCGCGGUAAUACGUAGGUGGCAAGCGUUGUCCGGAAUUAUUGGGCGUAAAGCGCGCGCAGGCGGUCUCUUAAGUCUGAUGUGAAAGCCCACGGCUCAACCGUGGAGGGCCAUUGGAAACUGGGGGACUUGAGUGCAGAAGAGGAGAGUGGAAUUCCACGUGUAGCGGUGAAAUGCGUAGAUAUGUGGAGGAACACCAGUGGCGAAGGCGGCUCUCUGGUCUGUAACUGACGCUGAGGCGCGAAAGCGUGGGGAGCGAACAGGAUUAGAUACCCUGGUAGUCCACGCCGUAAACGAUGAGUGCUAGGUGUUUGGGGGGGUUCCACCCUCAGUGCUGAAGUUAACACAUUAAGCACUCCGCCCGGGGGAGUACGACCGCAAGGUUGAAACUCAAAGGAAUUGACGGGGGCCCGCACAAGCAGUGGAGCAUGUGGUUUAAUUCGAAGCAACGCG
rnacentral:rRNA from 1 species